GAUGAAGAACGAAGCGAACUGCGAUAAGUAAUGUGAAUUGCAGAAUUCAGUGAAUCAUCGAGUCUUUGAACGCACAUUGCGCCCCCUGGCAUUCCGGGGGGCAUGCCUGUCCGAGCGUCAUUGCUGCCCUUCAAGCCCGGCUUGUGUGUUGGGUCGUCGUCCCCCCCGGGGGACGGGCCCGAAAGGCAGCGGCGGCACCGCGUCCGGUCCUCGAGCGUAUGGGGCUAUGUCACCCGCUCGAUUAGGGCCGGCCGGGCGCCAGCCGGCGUCUCCAACCUUCUAUUUUACCAGGUUGACCUCGGAUCAGGUAGGGAUACCCGCUGAACUUAAGCAUAUCAAUAAGCGGAGGA
rnacentral:misc_RNA from 1 species